rnacentral:rRNA from 1 species
UACAGAGGUCUCAAGCGUUGUUCGGAUUCAUUGGGCGUAAAGGGUGCGUAGGUGGCGCGGUAAGUCGGGUGUGAAAUUUCGGAGCUUAACUCCGAAACUGCAUUCGAUACUGCCGUGCUUGAGGACUGGAGAGGAGACUGGAAUUUACGGUGUAGAGGUGAAAUUCGUAGAUAUCGGGAGGAAUACCAGUGGCGAAGGCGGCGACCUGGGCCAAUACUGACGCUGAGGUGCGAAAGCGUGGGGAGCAAACAGG